GACGGAGGGUGCUAGCGUUGUUCGGAAUGACUGGGCGUAAAGGGCGCGUAGGCGGCCACUUGCGUCGGAUGUGAAAGCCCGGGGCUCAACCCCGGAACGGCAUCCGAUACGGGGUGGCUGGAGACCGAGAGAGGUGAGUGGAAUACCCAGUGUAGAGGUGAAAUUCGUAGAUAUUGGGUGGAACACCGGUGGCGAAAGCGGCUCACUGGCUCAGUUCUGACGCUGAGGCGCGAAAGCGUGGGGAGCAAACAGG
rnacentral:rRNA from 1 species